CAGGUGCUAUAUCACAGGAAGUGAUAAGGGAAAAAAUGGCUAUUGUACUGAAAGGAGCAAAACCCCCAUUUUAUAUAGUAAGAAAACUACUAAUUAUCCUAAUGUCUUAAUGGGCUAACAGUUGACCAGUAAUCCUGUCACCUAUAGUCAUUAUUAUGGAUAACAUAAAUAUCAGAACCCCAGAGAAGUCAAGCAUGUCAGUAGUUUAUUUAUUUAUUACUCUCAGUUUUAUUUAGGUUUGACCAAAGUGUCACUAAACUCAUAUUUUAAGUUAUUCAGAUUAUUAAAAGAUUAAAAACAUGACACCAUGAACACCGCAGCAUCAACACAUCCACCCACAGAGGAGUCGCCCACCCUCCCGCAGCGUUACGGAAAUAUCCUUUCGCCACCUUUGGACAGUGCAGAAACAAACACCGAGGCGACAUGUGAGCGACAAAAGUGUGUGCGAAAUGUCAGCGAGAUGGUGAAGAAAAAGAAAAAAGUUAAACUUACGUGUUUAUUUCAUGUGUAUCUGUUCAAGGUCGUGGUCGGCGCUGAAGUUUCCCUCAGCAAACUUGAGGCUCAGCUGAACGGCUGGUCGUUCCCUUUGGUCAGCUUGAGAGUGAGGCAUCGUGGGACAUGUAGUUUUUCCAAUGACGCGCUAUAUUCCCAAUUUAAAAAAAAACUUAGAAAUUUUACAAGCUGCUGAUCAAUUCAUUGAUUUGUUUUGGGGUCUGUAUGUCUAUUUGCAUGUCUGUCCGUUUGUGUGAUUAUCUGCAAAAUUACACCAGGCUAAAUUUCAUGAAAUUUGGAGACGUGCAAGGUCGGCAAAAGAAGAACACAUUUGGAGUGAACCCAGAUCAGUUUCCUUGAAAUUGCAAAAACAGUCUGUGGGGUAGAAAUGGGCGGAUCAAUCCAAAUAUCUUAGUAUCCAUACUAACACUUGUAUCAGUAUUAGAUCAAUACUUGCACAAAAGGAUCAAUACUUUGUUUCCACCCUCUAAGUUCAGUAUUUAACUCCUUAUAAUCUGUUAAAUAAAUGCUUUUAUUUUGGAAUUGAAAAAAAUAUAUAAAAAUAAAAAUAUAUGGUAUCAAAUCAGUAUAAAAAUUUGGACAGAGAAGUGUUAAAAAACAAGAAAAAAUAAUAACUCAAUCACAUCCUACAGUAAAAAUAAAAGACUAUAGUAUUUCGUUGACCAUUCAACCCCAGAGAAACAUCCAAACACUUUCAUUUCCCCUGGUGUCAUCUUUUGCAUCUUUUAAAUGACAGGAUAGCAUGUGCAAAUUGAUUCUGUUGAAGCAACUCGUCACAUGAAAAGUAUUUCAAGCCAGAGAAAUCACAUCACACCCUGUGGAUAUUUUUAGGCAUCCUAUCUGACGCUGUCUGAGCUUCCACAGGGUGUGACAGACAGGUAACAAACUUUCACUGUUGAAUUAGAUUACAAAAAGCUGUGAAUGCAACGAGAUGCUCCUCUAAUAGGUAAAUACAUUUUAGCAUUUAUUUGACACUUGGAAUAAACACAUUUCAGAUUUUUUUGAUUUGCAUGUCUCCUGCGUAACCACCUCUAUUAGCGACAGCAACCUCUCUCUGUCUGAUACCUGUCGUGUUGUUAUUAUGGAAGGGAUGUCUGUAGCAGCUAUAUGUUAUUUUAAGCUGCCUCUGUUAUUUUAUCUACGUCUUGCCAAGCUAUAAAGGACUCCAACAUGUGAGCAAAUGCC
ensembl:lncRNA